AUACGUAGGGGGCGAGCGUUGUCCGGAAUGAUUGGGCGUAAAGGGCGCGUAGGCGGCGCGGUAAGUCUGGAGUGAAAGUCCUGCUUUCAAGGUGGGAAUUGCUUUGGAUACUGCCGCGCUUGAGUGCAGGAGAGGCUAUCGGAAUUCCCGGUGUCGCGGUGAAAUGCGUAGAGAUCGGGAGGAACACCAGUGGCGAAGGCGGGUAACUGGACUGCAACUGACGCUGAGGCGCGAAAGUGUGGGGAGCAAACAGGAUUAGAUACCCUGGUAGUCCACACUGUAAACGAUGAAUGCUAGGUGUAAGAGGUAUCGACCCCUUUUGUGCCGGAGUCAACACAAUAAGCAUUCCGCCUGGGGAGUACGGCCGCAAGGUUGAAACUCAAAUGAAUUGACGGGG
rnacentral:rRNA from 1 species